rnacentral:rRNA from 1 species
AACGAACGCUGGCGGCAUGCCUAAUACAUGCAAGUCGAGCGAAGACUUCGGUCCUUGCGGCGGACGAGUUAGUAACGCGUGGGGACGGGCACUUUUCGUCGGAAUAGCCCUAGGACACUGAGAGUUAUAGCAGAUGAGCGCUAUUGGGGAAAGAUUUAUGAGCGAAGUGGCGACCGGGUGUGGGUCGGGUAUGUUGUGGGGUAAUGACAUACCAGGCCGGCGAUCCAUAGCUGGUUUGAGAGGAUGAUCAGCCACACUGGGACUGAGACGCGGCCCAGAAUCCUCCGGGAUGCAGCAGUGGGUGAUCGUAGACCAUGGGGGAAGUGCUGAUCGUGCCAGGACGCGUGAGCGCUGAAAGCCUUAGAGUUGUAAAGCUCUUUCAGCUGGGAAGAUAAUGACGGUACCAGCAGAAGAAGCCACGGCUAACUACGUG